rnacentral:rRNA from 1 species
CCUACGGGUGGCAGCAGUGGGGAAUAUUGCACAAUGGGGAAACCCUGAUGCAGCAACGCCGCGUGGGUGAAGGAGCGUUUCGGCGCGUAAAGCCCUGUCAGCGGGGGAGAAGAAAGACGGUACCCGACCAAGAAGCCCCGGCUAACUACGUGCCAGCAGCCGCGGUAAUACGUAGGGGGCGAGCGUUAUCCGGAGUUACUGGGUGUAACGGGAGCGUUGUCGGAGAGGUAAGCCUGAAGUGGAAACCCGGGGCCAAACCGCGGAACUGCUUUGGGAACUGUUUUGCUGGAGGAUGGGAGGGGUAAGCGGAAUUCCUGGUGUAGCGGUGAAAUGCGUAGAUAGUAGGAGGAACACCGGUGGCGAAGGCGGCUUACUGGACCAUAACUGACGUUGAGGCUCGAAAGCGUGGGGAGCGAACAGGAUUAGAUACCCGAGUAGUC